rnacentral:rRNA from 1 species
CCUACGGGAGGCAGCAGUGAGGCAUAUUGGUCAAUGGGCGCGAGCCUGAACCAGCCAAGUAGCGUGAAGGAUGACUGCCCUACGGGUUGUAAACUUCUUUUAUACAGGAAUAAGUGACGCACGUUUGCCUUUUUGUCUGUACUUUAUGAAUAAGGAUCGGCUCACUCCGUGCCAGCAGCCGCGGUAAUACGGAGGAUCCGGGGGUUAUCCGGAUUUAUUGGGUUUAAAGGGAGCGUAGGGGGGUUGUUAAGUCAGUUGUGAAAGUUUGCGGCUCAACCGUAAAAUAGCAGUUGAUACUGGCAGUCUAGAGUGCAGUUGAGGUAGGCGGAAUUCGUGGUGUAGCGGUGAAAUGCAUAGAUAUCACGAAGAACUCCGAUUGCGAAGGCAGCUUACUGGGCUGCCACUGACGUUGAGGCUCGAAAGUGUGGGUAUCAAACAGGAUUAGAUACCCCAGUAGUC